rnacentral:rRNA from 1 species
GGCCCCGCACAAGCGGUGGAGCAUGUGGUUUAAUUCGAUGAUACGCGAGGAACCUUACCAGGGCUUAAAUGUAAGUUGCAUAGAUCAGAGAUGGUCUUUUCUUCGGACUACUUACAAGGUGCUGCAUGGUUGUCGUCAGCUCGUGCCGUGAGGUGUCAGGUUAAGUCCUAUAACGAGCGCAACCCCUGUCGUUAGUUACCAGCGAGUCAUGUCGGGAACUCUAACAAGACUGCCGGUGCAAACCGUGAGGAAGGUGGGGAUGACGUCAAGUCCUCAUGGCCCUUAUGGGUAGGGCUUCACACGUCAUACAAUGGUCGGUACAGAGGGUUGCUAAGCCGCGAGGUGGAGCCAA